rnacentral:lncRNA from 1 species
CAAGGGGUUUUGGGGUGGAUUAUGGGGGGUUGGGGGAGGUCUUCAUGGGGUUUUGGGGGGAAUUUAUGGGGUUUUGGGGUUUUUAAGGGGUUUUGGAGUGAUUUUAUGGGGUUUUGGUGUUCUUAAGGGUUUUUUGGGGUACAUUCAUGGACUUUUGGGGUUCUUAUGGGGCUUUGGGGGGUUUUAAGGGGAUUUGGGGGGAUUUUAAAGGAUUUUGAGUAUUCUUAAGGAUUUUUGAGGGUUCUUAAGGGUUUUUUGGGGUCCAUUCAUAGGGUUUUUGGGCAUAGUUUAUGGGUUUUGUGGGUUUUUAAGUGGAUUUAGGUGGUUUUUAAGGGAUUUUUUGUAUAUUAUGGGUUUUUGAGGGUUCUUACUGAUUUUUUGGGGUACAUUCAUGGACUUUUGGGAUUCUUAUGGGGAUUUUGGGGCAUAUUUAGGGGAUUUUGGGGCAUAUUUAGGGGAUUUGGGGAUACGAAGGCGUUGGGCGACGUCAACGGGGUUGGGUGACCCCGUUGGGUCAUGGUUGACCCCAAAGGUCAUGGGGUGACCCUAAAGGUCACGGGGCGACCCCAAAGGUCACGGGGCGACCCCGUUGACCCCGCUGACCCCGCAGGAGACGGCGUUCGCCAUGCUGGUGGAGGUGACGGAGCGCGCCAUGGCCCUGACCCGCGCCCCGGAGCUGCUGCUGGUGGGCGGGGUCGGCUGCAACCGGCGCCUCCAGGAGAUGCUGCAGGAGAUGUGCGACGCCCGCGGCGCCCGGCUCUGCGCCAGCGACGAGAGGUUCUGCGUGGACAACGGGGCCAUGAUCGCCCAGGCCGGGUGGGAGAUGCUGCGGACGGGGCAGGUGACCGACAUCGCCCGCUCCGGGGUCACCCAAAGGUGGGGGCGUUUUGGGGGAUUUUGGGGACAUUUAGGG